rnacentral:rRNA from 1 species
GAUGAACGCUAGCGGCAGGCCUAAUACAUGCAAGUCGAGGGAGAAUGUUGGAUUCGUCUGACAUGAAACCGGCGCACGGGUGCGUAACACGUAUGCAACCUACCUUUAACUGGGGUAUAGCUCAGAGAAAUCUGAAUUAAUCCCCCAUAAGACUACGACAUGGCAUCAUGAUGUAGUUAAAGCUCCGUCGGUUAAGGAUGGGCAUGCGGGAAAGUAGCUAGUUGGGGAGGUAAUGGCUCACCAAGGCUACGAUGUAUAGGGGGUCUGAGAGGGUGAUCCCCCACACUGGAACUGAGACACGGACCAGACUCCUGCGGGAGGCAGCAGUAGGGAAUAUUGGUCAAGGGACGAAAGUCUGAACCAGCCAUGCCGCGUGAAGGAUGAAGGCCCUAUGGGUCGUAAACUUCUUUUAUUAGGGAAGAAAAAACGGGAUGCGUCCUGUACUGACGGUACUUAAUGAAUAAGGAUCGGCUAACUUCGUGCCAGCCGCCGCAGUAA